CGUACGUUUUCUGGCAGCUUUAUUUCCUAAAAUAAGUUUGAGGGAAGGGAGUAAAGAAGAAAAAAAAAAAGGAUUAACAGACGUUGAACUGACCCAACUGUUGCUCUUGGACCGUGAACGCACAGGCCUGCAAGAUUUUUGCCAUCAUUCAAAGUGACAACCACGUAACUGGGUUGUGCCAAAUUCACCAUGACCCGCGAUGGUAUUACAUGCGACCCCCAGAAUCCGGUGGUCAUGGAGGAAAUGGGAGAAACACUGUUUGUUGCUAUAGUCUUUCGCAGAGUUAACAUGUCAUUCCUGACGGGGCUGCCCUAGGCUCCGGGGCUGUAGCGUUCUCAGGGUUAGCGAUCUUUCUUGCGAGGCAGAGUUAGUAUAGGGAAGAGGUUUCCAGAAGAGUCGUGACAGGCUCACAAACUUAGGGGAGUUGGAGAAUUUGGCAGUAUGUCCAACCGGCCUCACAACUGCAGACCACGAGUAACCAUCCCAGGACCUCCACAUCCGGCUCAUUCACCUGCAGGAUGAGGCCAGCCACCCGGAUAGCUGAUGAAAUUGAGGAGUAUUUCUGUCUGUAAUAAAGCCCUUUGUGGGGAAAGACUCAUUCUGAUUGGCUGGGCCUGGCUCCCCAGUGGGUGGGCCUAUGCCCUCCCAGGCCCACCAAUGGCUGCGCCCCUGCCCAGUCAUGUGAAAUCAAUAGAUUAGGGCCUAAUGAAUUUAUUUCAUUUGACUGAUUUCCUUAUGAACUGUAACUCAAUAAAAUCAUUGAAAUUGUU